UCCCUGGUGGUCCAGUGGUUAGGACUCAGCACUUUUACUGUGGUGACCCUGGGUUCAAUCCUUGGUUGGGGAA
rfam:Ovis aries breed Texel chromosome 14, whole genome shotgun sequence.